rnacentral:rRNA from 1 species
GUGAAAGCCCACGGCUCAACCGUGGAAUUGCGUUGGAAACCACAUAGCUUGAGGGAGACAGAGGUGAGCGGAACUGAUGGUGGAGCGGUGAAAUGUGUUGAUAUCAUCAGGAACACCGGUGGCGAAAGCGGCUCGCUGGGUCUCUUCUGACGCUGAGGCACGAAAGCUAGGGUAGCGAACGGGAUUAGAUACCCCGGUAGUCCUAGCUGUAAACGAUCAGCACUAGACUGAGGGAACUCCCACAUUCUCUCGGUCGUAGCGAAAGUGUUAAGUGCUGCGCCUGGGGAGUAUGGCCGCAAGGCUGAAACUCAAAGGAAUUGACGGGGGCUCACACAAGCGGUGGAGGAUGUGGCUUAAUUCGAGGCUACGCGAAGAACCUUACCUAGGCUUGAACUGCUUGAGAAUACUCUAGAAACAGAGUAGUGCCUUUCGGGGAGCUCUUGCACA